rnacentral:rRNA from 1 species
UUUAAAGAAAGCGUAACAGCUCACUGGUCUAGACAAGUUGUCCUGCGGCGAAGAUGUAACGGGGCUCAAGCCACGAGCCGAAGCUCAGGAUGCAUCGCAAGAUGCGUGGUAGCGGAGCGUUCUGUCUAUGUAGACCCUGCCUCUUCAGCGCCCUCGGGGCGGUGCGGAGGUGAGGGUCGUCGGCGAUGAAGCCGGCCUGUGAGGGACCGGUGGAGCAUUCAGAAGCGAGAAUGUUGACAUGAGUAGCGAUAAAGAGGGUGAGAGACCCUCUCGCCGAAAAGUCCA